rnacentral:rRNA from 1 species
UACGAAGGGUGCAAGCGUCACUCGGAAUUACUGGGCGUAAAGCGUGCGUAGGCGGUUUGUUAAGUCUGUCGUGAAAGCCCCGGGCUCAACCUGGGAAUGGCGAUGGAAACUGGCGAGCUAGAGUACGGUAGAGGAGAGUGGAAUUCCCGGUGUAGCAGUGAAAUGCGUAGAGAUCGGGAGGAACAUCAGUUGCGAAGGCGGCUCUCUGGACCAGUACUGACGCUGAGGCACGAAAGCGUGGGGAGCAAACAGG